rnacentral:rRNA from 1 species
AUUGAACGCUGGCGGCAGGCCUAACACAUGCAAGUCGAACGCGAAAGUCCUUCGGGAUGAGUAGAGUGGCGGACGGGUGAGUAACGCGUGGGAAUCUGCCCUGUAGUGGGGGAUAACGUUCCGAAAGGGACGCUAAUACCGCAUACGCCCCAAGGGGGAAAGCGGGGGAUCUUCGGACCUCGUGCUACAGGAUGAGCUUGCGUCGGAUUAGCUAGUUGGUGGGGUAAAAGGCCCUACCAAGGCGACGAUCCGUAGCUGGUCUGAGAGGAUGAUCAGCCACACCGGGACUGAGACACGGCCCGGACUCCUACGGGAGGCAGCAGUGGGGAAUAUUGCGCAAUGGGGGCAACCCUGACGCAGCCAUGCCGCGUGUGUGAAGAAA